rnacentral:rRNA from 1 species
GUGUCAGCCGCCGCGGUAAGACGAACCGUGCGAACGUUGUUCGGAUUCACUGGGCUUAAAGGGCGCGUAGGCGGGCCUUCAAGUCAGGGGUGAAAUCCUCCGGCCUAACCGGAGAACAGCCCCUGAUACUGAGGGCCUCGAGGGAGGUAGGGGUCGAUGGAACUUCCGGUGGAGCGGUGAAAUGCGUAGAUAUCGGAAGGAACGCCGGUGGCGAAAGCGAUCGACUGGACCUCUUCUGACGCUGAGGCGCGAAAGCCAGGGGAGCGAACGGGAUUAGAUACCCCCGUAGUCC